rnacentral:rRNA from 1 species
UACGUAGGGUGCAAGCGUUAAUCGGAAUUACUGGGCGUAAAGCGUGCGCAGGCGGUUUUGUAAGUCUGUCGUGAAAUCCCCGGGCUCAACCUGGGAAUUGCGAUGGAGACUGCAAGGCUAGAAUCUGGCAGAGGGGGGUAGAAUUCCACGUGUAGCAGUGAAAUGCGUAGAGAUCGGCAGGAACACCCAGGGGGAAACCAGUCGACUGGGCAUCUACUGACGCUGAGGUGCGAGAGCGUGGGGAGCGAACCGG